UAUUCUGUGGCCUUGUUUUUUUGUGUCCGUGCCAUUUCAGCUUCAAUUUCUUUGAUCUUCUCAAUUAUACCCAUCUUUAAUAUGUAUGAUAGAUACCUGAUUAGGGUUUACUGACGAUAGUACUGCGCCCGCACACUAUCUGUGAGAAGGAGAUGAGAACGAGGACACGAUCUACAGAAACUCCGUUUAGAGUCCGAAAAGGGAGGGGCGAAGAUGGAGAGCUCCGGCGAAGAUGGAGA
rnacentral:misc_RNA from 1 species